UCCCCGUUACCGGGGCAGUCUGACUAGAAAAAUUCAACUAAUCAUAAGGGUUGCGCUCGUUAAUGGACUUAACCAAACAUCUCACGACACGAGCUGACGACGGCCAUGCAACACCUGUCACUGAGUUCCGGGUUACAAUACACAAUUUAACUUAUGUACUCUAACCCGGCACUCACUCCUUUCGGAGUAAUUCUCAGGAUGUCAAGCCUUGGUAAGGUUCUUCGCUUAUCAUCGAAUUAAGCAACACGCUCCACCGCUUGUGCGGGUCCCCGUCAAUUCCUUUGAGUUUUAGCCUUGCGGCCGUACUCCUCAGGCGGGAUGCUUAACGCGUUAGCUUCGCUACACACCGGGUCGAUACGGCAUACAGCUAGCAUCCAUAGUUUACGGCGUGGACUAC
rnacentral:misc_RNA from 1 species